CAAAACAACGGUUCCUAUAUGAUCACCGAAGUUAAGCAACGUCAUGCCUGGUCAGUACCUAGAUGGGUAACCACCUGGGAAGUCAGGUUCUGU